rnacentral:rRNA from 1 species
GCAUAUCAAUAAGCGGAGGAAAAGAAAGCAACAGCGAUAGCCCCAGUAACGGCGAGUGAAGCGGCUACAGCUCAAAUUUGAAAUCUGGCCCCCCUCCGGAGGGUCCGAGUUGUAAUUUGCAGAGGAUGCUUUGGCGUUGGCGGCGGUCUAAGUUCCUUGGAACAGGACAUCGCAGAGGGUGAGAAUCCCGUACGUGGGCGCCUGCCUUCGCCGUGUAAAGCUCCUUCGACGAGUCGAGUUGUUUGGGAAUGCAGCUCUAAAUGGGAGGUAAAUUUCUCCUAAAGCUAAAUACCGGCCAGAGACCGAUAGCGCACAAGUAGAGUGAUCGAAAGAUGAAAAGUACUUUGGAAAGAGAGUCAAAUAGCACGUGAAAUUGUUGAAAGGGAAGCGCUUGCAGCCAGACUUGCCCGCAGUUGCUCACCCAGGCUCCCGCCUGGGGCACUCUUCUGCGGGCAGGCCAGCAUCAGUUUGGGCGGUCGGACAAAGGUCUCUGUCACGUACCACCCUCCGGGGUGGCCUUAUAGGGGAGACGCAAUGCGACCAGCCCGGACUGAGGUCCGCGCGCAUGCUAGGAUGCUGGCGUAAUGGCUGUAAGCGGCCCGUCUUGAAACACGGACCAAGGAGUCUAACAUCUAUGCGAGUGUUUGGGUGUCAAGCCCGGGCGCGCAAUGAAAGUGAACGGAGGUGGGAACCCCUCGCGGGGCGCACCAUCGACCGAUCCUGAUGUCUUCGGAUGGAUUUGAGUAAGAGCAUAGCUGUUGGGACCCGAAAGAUGGUGAACUAUGCUUGAAUAGGGUGAAGCCAGAGGAAACUCUGGUGGAGGCUCGCAGCGGUUCUGACGUGCAAAUCGAUCGUCAAAUUUGGGCAUA